rnacentral:rRNA from 1 species
AUUGAACGCUGGCGGCAUGCUUUACACAUGCAAGUCGAACGGUAACAGGUUAAGCUGACGAGUGGCGAACGGGUGAGUAAUGCAUCGGAACGUGCCCGGUCGUGGGGGAUAACGCAGCGAAAGCUGCGCUAAUACCGCAUACGAUCUGAGGAUGAAAGCGGGGGACCGUAAGGCCUCGCGCGAUCGGAGCGGCCGGUGCCAGAUUAGGUAGUUGGUGGGGUAAAGGCUCACCAAGCCGACGAUCUGUAGCUGGUCUGAGAGGACGACCAGCACAACUGGGACUGAGCAACGGCCCAGACUCCUACGGGAGGCAGCAGUGGGGAAUUUUGGACAAUGGGCGCAAGCCUGAUCCAGCAAUGCCGCGUGCAGGAAGAAGGCCUUCGGGUUGUAAACUGCUUUUGUACGGAGCGAAAAGGCUCUCUCUAAUACAGGGGGCUCAUGACGGUACCGUAAGAAUAAGCACCGGCUAACUACGUGCCAGCCGCCGCGGUAA